rnacentral:rRNA from 1 species
GGUUCCGGACGGGCUUGGUCGGAAAAUGUAGGGCUUCCCGAGACGGGGGCCGUCCGACCGUCCGCCAUCCGUCGUGCCCGACGCAUUUGUCUCUCGUCCGAAGGACGCUGCAGCCGGUCGGGCAGCGCAAGCGUGACGGCCUUCAGGGUCGGGAAACGGCAGGUGGCCGGUGGCGGGACCUCGUGUCCGUCGCCGGUUGUUAGCCAUCCCGACAGUGGCACGUCGCUCGACCGAGGUGUCGCGAGUCCCCACGGGGACUCCACGUCUCCUCCCCCCCUCGGGGGGGUUCGCGAUCGAGACGUCGCAGGCUUCGUAACCCGCGUUGUCGCACCGCCUCGCGGUGGGCUCGUGGUCGUUCGAUACCGUUGGCGACGUCCGCAUCGCAGGAGGCCGGAGGCUCGCAGCGAGUAGGUCGGUCACCCACCCGACCCGUCUUGAAACACGGACCAAGGAGUCCAACAUGUGCGCGAGUCAGUGGGUCUUGACUAGGCCCACGGGCGUAAUGAAAGCGAAGGAGCGCUUCUCGCGUUCCGAGUUGGGAUCCCCUCCCUCGCGGGGGGGGCGCACCAACGACCCGUCCCGUCCGGUUCGCCGGUGGGAUGGAGUGUGAGCGUACACGUUGGGACCCGAAAGAUGGUGAACUAUGCCCGGACAGGACGAGGCCAGAGGAAACUCUGGUGGAGGUCC